rnacentral:rRNA from 1 species
UGGGGAAUAUUGGGCAAUGGAGGCAACUCUGACCCAGCAAUGCCGCGUGAAUGAAGAAGGUCUUCGGAUUGUAAAGUUCUUUAAUCAGGGACGAAGGAAAUGACGGUACCUGAGGAAUAAGCCACGGCAAACUAUGUGCCAGCAGCCGCGGUAAUACAUAGGUGGCAAGCGUUGUCCGGAAUGACUGGGCGUAAAGGGAGCGUAGGCGGUCUGUUAAGUUGGGAGUGAAAUCCCGGGGCUCAACCCCGGAACUGCUUUCAAGACUGACGGACUUGAGUGUAAGAGGGGUAAGCGGAAUUCCUAGUGUAGCGGUGGAAUGCGUAGAUAUUAGGAGGAACACCAGUGGCGAAGGCGGCUUACUGGAUUAUAACUGACGCUGAGGCUCGAAAGCGUGGGUAGCAAACAGG